GACGAACGCUGGCGGCGUGCUUAACACAUGCAAGUCGAACGGAAAGGCCCUGCUUUUGUGGGGUGCUCGAGUGGCGAACGGGUGAGUAACACGUGAGUAACCUGCCCUUGACUUUGGGAUAACUUCAGGAAACUGGGGCUAAUACCGGAUAGGAGCUCCUGCUGCAUGGUGGGGGUUGGAAAGUUUCGGCGGUUGGGGAUGGACUCGCGGCUUAUCAGCUUGUUGGUGGGGUAGUGGCUUACCAAGGCUUUGACGGGUAGCCGGCCUGAGAGGGUGACCGGCCACAUUGGGACUGAGAUACGGCCCAGACUCCUACGGGAGGCAGCAGUGGGGAAUAUUGCACAAUGGGCGGAAGCCUGAUGCAGCAACGCCGCGUGCGGGAUGACGGCCUUCGGGUUGUAAACCGCUUUCGCCUGUGACGAAGCGUGAGUGACGGUAAUGGGUAAAGAAGCACCGGCUAACUACGUGCCAGCAGCCGCGGUGAUACGUAGGGUGCGAGCGUUGUCCGGAUUUAUUGGGCGUAAAGGGCUCGUAGGUGGUUGAUCGCGUCGGAAGUGUAAUCUUGGGGCUUUAACCCUGAGCGUGCUUUCGAUACGGGUUGACUUGAGGAAGGUAGGGGAGAAUGGAAUUCCUGGUGGAGCGGUGGAAUGCGCAAAUAUCAGGAGGAACACCAGUGGCGAAGGCGGUUCUCUGGGCCUUUCCUGACGCUGAGGAGCGAAAGCGUGGGGAGCGAACAGGCUUAGAUACCCUGGUAGUCCACGCUGUAAACGGUGGGUACUAGGUGUGGGGUCCAUUCCACGGGUUCCGUGCCGUAGCUAACGCUCUAAGUACCCCGCCUGGGGAGUACGGCCGCAAGGCUAAAACUCAAAGGAAUUGACGGGGCCCCGCACAAGCGGCGGAGCAUGCGGAUUAAUUCGAUGCAACGCGUAGAACCUUACCUGGGUUUGACAUGGAUCGGGAGUGCUCAGAGAUGGGUGUGCCUCUUUUGGGGUCGGUUCACAGGUGGUGCAUGGCUGUCGUCAGCUCGUGUCGUGAGAUGUUGGGUUAAGUCCCGCAACGAGCGCAACCCUUGUUCACUGUUGCCAGCACGUUAUGGUGGGGACUCAGUGGAGACCGCCGGGGUCAACUCGGAGGAAGGUGGGGAUGACGUCAAGUCAUCAUGCCCCUUAUGUCCGGGGCUUCACGCAUGCUACAAUGGCUGGUACAGAGAGUGGCGAGCCUGUGAGGGUGAGCGAAUCUCGGAAAGCCGGUCUCAGUUCGGAUUGGAGUCUGCAACUCGACCUCAUGAAGUCGGAGUCGCUAGUAAUCGCAGAUCAGCAACGCUGCGGUGAAUACGUUCCCGGGGCU
rnacentral:rRNA from 1 species